rnacentral:rRNA from 1 species
AACGAACGCUGGCGGCAGGCUUAACACAUGCAAGUCGAGCGCCCCGCAAGGGGAGCGGCAGACGGGUGAGUAACGCGUGGGAAUCUACCCAUCUCUACGGAAUAACGCAUGGAAACGUGUGCUAAUACCGUAUACGUCCUUCGGGCGAAAGAUUUAUCGGAGAUGGAUGAGCCCGCGUUGGAUUAGCUAGUUGGUGGGGUAAAGGCCUACCAAGGCGACGAUCCAUAGCUGGUCUGAGAGGAUGAUCAGCCACACUGGGACUGAGACACGGCCCAGACUCCUACGGGAGGCAGCAGUGGGGAAUAUUGGAUAAUGGGCGCAAGCCUGAUCCAGCCAUGCCGCGUGAGUGAUGAAGGCCCUAGGGUUGUAAAGCUCUUUCACCGGUGAAGAUAAUGACGGUAACCGGAGAAGAAGCCCCGGCUAACUUCGUGCCAGCCGCCGCCGUAAAAC